GAUGAACGCUGGCGGCGUGCCUAAUACAUGCAAGUCGAGCGAACAGAUAAGGAGCUUGCUCCUUUGACGUUAGCGGCGGACGGGUGAGUAACACGUGGGUAACCUACCUAUAAGACUGGGAUAACUUCGGGAAACCGGAGCUAAUACCGGAUAAUAUUUCGAACCGCAUGGUUCGAUAGUGAAAGAUGGUUUUGCUAUCACUUAUAGAUGGACCCGCGCCGUAUUAGCUAGUUGGUAAGGUAACGGCUUACCAAGGCGACGAUACGUAGCCGACCUGAGAGGGUGAUCGGCCACACUGGAACUGAGACACGGUCCAGACUCCUACGGGAGGCAGCAGUAGGGAAUCUUCCGCAAUGGGCGAAAGCCUGACGGAGCAACGCCGCGUGAGUGAUGAAGGUCUUCGGAUCGUAAAACUCUGUUAUUAGGGAAGAACAUACGUGUAAGUAACUGUGCACGCCUUGGCGGUACCUAAUCAGAAAGCCACGGCUAACUACGUG
rnacentral:rRNA from 1 species